rnacentral:rRNA from 1 species
GACGAACGCUGGCGGCGUGCCUAAUACAUGCAAGUAGAACGCUGAAGAGAGGAGCUUGCUCUUCUUGGAUGAGUUGCGAACGGGUGAGUAACGCGUAGGUAACCUGCCUUGUAGCGGGGGAUAACUAUUGGAAACGAUAGCUAAUACCGCAUAACAAUGGAUGACACAUGUCAUUUAUUUGAAAGGGGCAAUUGCUCCACUACAAGAUGGACCUGCGUUGUAUUAGCUAGUAGGUGAGGUAAUGGCUCACCUAGGCGACGAUACAUAGCCGACCUGAGAGGGUGAGCGGCCACCCUGGGACUGAGACACGGCCCAGACGCCUUCGGGAGGCAGCAGUAGGGAAUCUUCGGCAAUGGGGGCAACCCUGACCGAGCAACGCCGCGUGAGUGAAGAAGGUUUUCGGAUCGUAAAGCUCUGUUGUAAGUCAAGAACGGGUGUGAGAGUGGAAAGUUCACACUGUGACGGUAGCUUACCAGAAAGGGACGGCUAACUACGUG